rnacentral:rRNA from 1 species
AGGACGAACGCUGGCGGCGUGCUUAAGACAUGCAAGUCGAACGGUAACAGGCCCUUCGGGGUGCUGACGAGCGGCGGACGGGUGAGUAAUGCAUCGGAACGUAUCCUUGAGUGGGGGAUAACGCAGCGAAAGUUGUGCUAAUACCGCAUAAGCUCUGAGGAGGAAAGCGGGGGACCGAAAGGCCUCGCGCAGCAGGAUGAGCCGAUGUCCGAUUAGCUAGUUGGUGGGGUAACGGCCUACCAAGGCGACGAUCGGUAGCUGGUCUGAGAGGAUGAUCAGCCACACUGGGACUGAGACACGGCCCAGACUCCUACGGGAGGCAGC